rnacentral:rRNA from 1 species
AGAGCGAACGCUGGCGGCAGGCUUAACACAUGCAAGUCGAACGGGCGUAGCAAUACGUCAGCGGCAGACGGGUGAGUAACGCGUGGGAACGUACCUUUUGGUUCGGAACAACCCAGGGAAACUUGGGCUAAUACCGGAUAAGCCCUUACGGGGAAAGAUUUAUCGCCGAAAGAUCGGCCCGCGUCUGAUUAGCUAGUUGGUGAGGUAAUGGCUCACCAAGGCGACGAUCAGUAGCUGGUCUGAGAGGAUGAUCAGCCACAUUGGGACUGAGACACGGCCCAAACUCCUACGGGAGGCAGCAGUGGGGAAUAUUGGACAAUGGGCGCAAGCCUGAUCCAGCCAUGCCGCGUGAGUGAUGAAGGCCCUAGGGUUGUAAAGCUCUUUUGUGCGGGAAGAUAAUGACGGUACCGCAAGAAUAAGCCCCGGCUAACUUCGUGCCAGCAGCCGC